CUCCUCGGCAGCACUCGACCAGCAGCAUGCAUUUGCGCCGUCAUCUGACGAGAGCUGACCUUGUUCACCGAACGUACGCUUGAAAGCAGCACGAUACCACUGCGCAAGCGCUCCGUCAUGUGGCUUUUUUCAUAUUUCGCGGGCUUUCUUUUCAACCCUGAAAAAUGGACUACGUGUGACGGAUCGCACAAGAAACAACACGAUCGGCGGUUUCGGAAGCUGCUCUACAAAUCUGCGAAUCACACUUGGGGUCCUCAGCCAAGAAUUAAAAAGUUGGCUAAUUAAACUUAAUGAGUGAGUUAUGGGGAAAA
rnacentral:lncRNA from 1 species